UACGGAGGGGGCUAGCGUUGUUCGGAAUUACUGGGCGUAAAGCGCAUGUAGGCGGAUCGAAAAGUUGGGGGUGAAAUCCCGGGGCUCAACCCCGGAACUGCCUUCAAAACUAUUGGUCUUGAGUUCGAGAGAGGUGAGUGGAAUUCCGAGUGUAGAGGUGAAAUUCGUAGAUAUUCGGAGGAACACCAGUGGCGAAGGCGGCUCACUGGCUCGAUACUGACGCUGAGAUGCGAAAGCGUGGGGAGCAAACAGG
rnacentral:rRNA from 1 species